rnacentral:rRNA from 1 species
UAGGGAAUAUUGCACAAUGGGGGGAACCCUGAUGCAGCAACGCCACGUGUGGGAAGAAGCAUUUCGGUGUGUAAACCACUGUCGUGAGGGAAUAAGGCUAUUUUUCGGAGUAAUUGAAUGUACCUCGAGAGGAAGCACCGGCAAACUUCGUGCCAGCAGCCGCGGUAAUACGAGGGGUGCAAGCGUUGUUCGGAAUCACUGGGCGUAAAGGGAGCGCAGGCGGAAGCUCAAGCGGAUUGUACAAUACCGGGGCCCAACCCCGGACCUGCAGUCCGAGCUGGGUUUCUUGGAUAGUUCAGGGGCAAGCGGAAUUCCUGGUGUAGCGGUGGAAUGCGUAGAGAUCAGGAAGAACACCGAUGGCGAAGGCAGUCUCCUGGGCAAAUACUGACGCUCAUAUGCGAAAGCGUGGGUAGCAAAC